rnacentral:rRNA from 1 species
UCAAGCGAACAAGUGCAUGUGGUGGAUGCCUUGGCGAUCACAGGCGAUGAAGGACGCGGUAGCCUGCGAAAAGCUUCGGGGAGCUGGCAAACGAGCUUUGAUCCGAAGAUGUCCGAAUGGGGAAACCCGGCCCGUAUGGGUCAUCCUGGAGUGAAUACAUAGCUCCAGUGAAGCGAACGCGGUGAACUGAAACAUCUAAGUAACCGCAGGAAAAGAAAUCAACCGAGAUUCCCAAAGUAGUGGCGAGCGAAAUGGGAUCAGCCUGUACCUUUUAGCAUCAUUGUUAGCCGAACGCUCUGGAAAGUGCGGCCAUAGCAGGUGAUAGCCCUGUAGGCGAAAACAGCGAUGUGGAACUAGGGGUACGACAAGUAGGGCGGGACACGUGAAAUCCUGUCUGAAGAUGGGGGGACCAUCCUCCAAGGCUAAAUACUCGUGAUCGACCGAUAGUGAACCAGUACCGUGAGGGAAAGGCGAAAAGAACCCCGGGAGGGGAGUGAAAUAGAUCCUGAAACCGCAUGCAUACAAACAGUCGGAGCCUUGAAAGGGGUGACGGCGUACCUUUUGUAUAAUGGGUCAGCGACUUACGUUCAGUAGCAAGCUUAACUGAUUAAGGCAGGCGUAGCGAAAGCGAGUCCGAAUAGGGCGUCUCAGUUGCUGGGCGUAGACCCGAAACCAAGUGAUCUAUCCAUGGCCAGGUUGAAGGUGCGGUAACACGUACUGGAGGACCGAACCCACUAAUGUUGAAAAAUUAGGGGAUGAGCUGUGGAUAGGGGUGAAAGGCUAAACAAACUUGGAAAUAGCUGGUUCUCUCCGAAAACUAUUUAGGUAGUGCCUCGUGUAUCACCUUCGGGGGUAGAGCACUGUCAUGGUUGUGGGGUCCAUUGCGGAUUACUACGCCAUAGCAAACUCCGAAUACCGAAGAGUGCAAUCACGGGAGACAGACAUCGGGUGCUAACGUCCGGUGUCAAGAGGGAAACAACCCAGACCGCCAGCUAAGGUCCCCAAAUAUUGCUAAGUGGGAAACGAAGUGGGAAGGCUAAAACAGUCAGGAGGUUGGCUUAGAAGCAGCCACCCUUUAAAGAAAGCGUAAUAGCUCACUGAUCGAGUCGUCCUGCGCGGAAGAUGUAACGGGGCUAAGCAAUAUACCGAAGCUGCGGAUGCAUAUUUAUAUGCAUGGUAGGAGAGCGUUCCGUAAGCCUGUGAAGGUGCAUUGAAAAGUGUGCUGGAGGUAUCGGAAGUGCGAAUGCUGACAUGAGUAGCGAUAAAGGGGGUGAAAAGCCCCCUCGCCGUAAGCCCAAGGUUUCCUACGCAACGUUCAUCGGCGUAGGGUGAGUCGGCCCCUAAGGCGAGGCAGAAAUGCGUAGCUGAUGGGAAGCAGGUUAAUAUUCCUGCACCAUUGUUAAAUGCGAUGGGGGGACGGAUCGCGGAAGGUUGUCCGGGUGUUGGAAGUCCCGGUCCUUGCAUUGGAGAAGGCGCUUAGGCAAAUCCGGGCGCGGAAUUCAAGGGUGCGAGGCCAUUCACUUCGGUGAAGAAGCAAUCGGAAGUGGUUCCAAGAAAAGCCUCUAAGCUUCAGUUUAACAAGACCGUACCGCAAACCGACACAGGUGGGCGAGAUGAGUAUUCUAAGGCGCUUGAGAGAACUCGGGAGAAGGAACUCGGCAAAUUGGUACCGUAACUUCGGGAUAAGGUACGCCCCUGUAGCUUGAAUGGCCUGCGCCAUGAGGGUGAAGGGGUUGCAAUAAACUGGUGGCUGCGACUGUUUAAUAAAAACACAGCACUCUGCAAACACGAAAGUGGACGUAUAGGGUGUGACGCCUGCCCGGUGCCGGAAGAUUAAAUGAUGGGGUGCAAGCUCUUGAUUGAAGUCCCGGUAAACGGCGGCCGUAACUAUAACGGUCCUAAGGUAGCGAAAUUCCUUGUCGGGUAAGUUCCGACCUGCACGAAUGGCGUAACGAUGGCCACACUGUCUCCUCCCGAGACUCAGCGAAGUUGAAGUGUUUGUGAUGAUGCAAUCUCCCCGCGGCUAGACGGAAAGACCCCAUGAACCUUUACUGUAGCUUUGCAUUGGACUUUGAACCGAUCUGUGUAGGAUAGGUGGGAGGCUAUGAAACGGGAACGCUAGUUUCCGUGGAGCCGUCCUUGAAAUACCACCCUGGUUUGUUUGAGGUUCUAACCUUGGCCCGUGAUCCGGGUCGGGGACAGUGCAUGGUAGGCAGUUUGACUGGGGCGGUCUCCUCCCAAAGUGUAACGGAGGAGUACGAAGGUACGCUAGGUACGGUCGGAAAUCGUGCUGAUAGUGCAAUGGCAUAAGCGUGCUUAACUGCGAGACCGACAAGUCGAGCAGGUGCGAAAGCAGGUCAUAGUGAUCCGGUGGUUCUGUAUGGAAGGGCCAUCGCUCAACGGAUAAAAGGUACUCUGGGGAUAACAGGCUGAUACCGCCCAAGAGUUCAUAUCGACGGCGGUGUUUGGCACCUCGAUGUCGGCUCAUCUCAUCCUGGGGCUGUAGCCGGUCCCAAGGGUAUGGCUGUUCGCCAUUUAAAGAGGUACGUGAGCUGGGUUUAAAACGUCGUGAGACAGUUUGGUCCCUAUCUGCCGUGGGCGUUGGAUAUUUGAAGGGGGCUGCUCCUAGUACGAGAGGACCGGAGUGGACGAACCUCUGGUGUACCGGUUGUCACGCCAGUGGCAUCGCCGGGUAGCUAUGUUCGGAAGAGAUAACCGCUGAAAGCAUCUAAGCGGGAAACUCGCCUUGAGAUGAGAUAUCCCUGGAGCUUUAAGCUCCUUGAAGGGUCGUUCUAGACCAGGACGUUGAUAGGUCAGGUGUGGAAGUGCAGUAAUGCAUUAAGCUAACUGAUACUAAUUGCCCGUAAGGCUUGAUC